CGCGGGGUAGAGCAGCGGUCAACUCGCAAGGUUCAUUCCCUUGAGGUCGCGGGUUCGAGUCCCGCCCCCGCUA
rnacentral:tRNA from 1 species